UGCCAUAUGCGAGCCAAUAUAGAAGAGUGCCAUGAUGCAAUCGAGGAGGACGAUGCAUCAUCCAACACACCACCACGCAAAGUGUUUAUAAUAUGAU